AGUGGCGAACGGGUGAGUAACGCGUGAGGAACCUGCCUCAAAGAGGGGGACAACAGUUGGAAACGACUGCUAAUACCGCAUAAGCCCACAGGUCGGCAUCGACCAGAGGGAAAAGGAGCAAUCCGCUUUGAGAUGGCCUCGCGUCCGAUUAGCUAGUUGGUGAGGUAACGGCCCACCAAGGCAACGAUCGGUAGCCGGACUGAGAGGUUGAACGGCCACAUUGGGACUGAGACACGGCCCAGACUCCUACGGGAGGCAGCAGUGGGGAAUAUUGCACAAUGGGGGAAACCCUGAUGCAGCGACGCCGCGUGGAGGAAGAAGGUCUUCGGAUUGUAAACUCCUGUUGUUGAGGAAGAUAAUGACGGUACUCAACAAGGAAGUGACGGCUAACUACGUGCCAGCAGCCGCGGUAAAACGUAGGUCACAAGCGUUGUCCGGAAUUACUGGGUGUAAAGGGAGCGCAGGCGGGAAGACAAGUUGGAAGUGAAAUCUAUGGGCUCAACCCAUAAACUGCUUUCAAAACUGUUUUUCUUGAGUAGUGCAGAGGUAGGCGGAAUUCCCGGUGUAGCGGUGGAAUGCGUAGAUAUCGGGAGGAACACCAGUGGCGAAGGCGGCCUACUGGGCACCAACUGACGCUGAGGCUCGAAAGUGUGGGUAGCAAACAGGAUUAGAUACCCUGGUAGUCCACACCGUAAACGAUGAUUACUAGGUGUUGGAGGAUUGACCCCUUCAGUGCCGCAGUUAACACAAUAAGUAAUCCACCUGGGGAGUA
rnacentral:rRNA from 1 species